GUGAUGAUGCUGCAAAAAGGUUUCGCUUAAUGAGCUGAUGUCAUGUGAUGUUACAUCUCUUGGCUGUCUGACCAA
rnacentral:snoRNA from 1 species